GAGUUUGAUCCUGGCUCAGGAUGAACGCUGGCGGCGUGCCUAAUACAUGCAAGUCGAGCGAACAGACGAGGAGCUUGCUCCUCUGACGUUAGCGGCGGACGGGUGAGUAACACGUGGAUAACCUACCUAUAAGACUGGGAUAACUUCGGGAAACCGGAGCUAAUACCGAAUAAUAUAUUGAACCGCAUGGUUCAAUAGUGAAAAACGGUUUUGCUGUCACUUAUAGAUGGAUCCGCGCCGCAUUAGCUAGUUGGUAGGGUAACGGCUUACCAAGGCGACGAUGCGUAGCCGACCUGAGAGGGUGAUCGGCCACACUGGAACUGAGACACGGUCCAGACUCCUACGGGAGGCAGCAGUAGGGAAUCUUCCGCAAUGGGCGAAAGCCUGACGGAGCAACGCCGCGUGAGUGAUGAAGGUCUUCGGAUCGUAAAACUCUGUUAUUAGGGAAGACAAAUGUGUAAGUAACUAUGCACGUCUUGACGGUACCUAAUCAGAAAGCCACGGCUAACUACGUGCCAGCCGCCG
rnacentral:rRNA from 1 species